AGAGUAAAAUUCAAGCCCUUUUCAAGCACUUUUAAGGUACCUAAACCGAAAUUUCCAGUCUCUCAAGGACUUUAUCAUCUAGAAU